AUUUUGUGUGUUGGAGUAAAAAAAAAGGGAGAAUCGAGAGGGAGAGCUGAAGGGGGGGCGGGGAGGGACCGGACCGGACCGAGCCGGGGGCACGGCCCCCCGCCCCGAAACCCUGCGGAGCCCAAGGUGGAGAAAAGAUGAAGCCAAUGAAGAAGGCAUGCACUGGCCUCCCAGGUCCUGGCAGUGGAGGCAAGUCCCCACCAGCUACCAGGGCCAAAGCCCUGAGGAGGCGAGGGGUUGGGGAGGGUGACAAGCCAGAGGAAGAGGAUGACGAGGUACAACAGCAGCUGGGCCCAGAAGAGGCUGAGGAGUGUGAGGAGGAGGAGGAGACCCAGCAGGGCUCAGGGGUUGAGGGGCUCCCCCCGGAGCUGCACCCUGAUGACCCAGUCCCAGGCCCUGCUGAGGACCCCAAGGCAGAGGGUGAGACAGGUCGUUGGGAGCCCCCCCUCAGCCGGAAGACAGCUACGUUCAAGUCGCGAGCACCCAAGAAGAAGUAUGUGGAAGAACAUGGGGCUGGCAGUGGCAGUGGUGGAGCAGCUGGGACCCCAGAUGAGCCAGCAGGGACCCCUGAGGAUGCCGGUGCCCUGGGUGUUCCUCCACGGCCACUCACCUCUGCCCGCUCCUCCUCCACUGACACAGCCAGUGAGCAUUCAGCUGACCUGGAGGAUGAGCCCACUGAAGGUUGUGGGCCAGGCUCCUGGCCCCCAGCUGGCACCAGUGGCAGCUAUGACCUGCGGCAACUGCGGUCCCAGCGGGUGCUGGCUCGGCGUGGGGAUGGCCUGUUCCUGCCGGCUGUGGUGCGUCAGGUACGCCGAAGCCAGGACUUGGGCGUGCAGUUCCCUGGGGACCGGGCCCUGACUUUCUAUGAAGGGGCACCUGGCAGUGGUGUCGAUGUGGUUUUGGAUGCCACGCCGCCACCAGGUGCGCUAGUGGUGGGCACGGCUGUCUGUACCUGUGUGGAGCCUGGUACAGCUGUCUACCGUGAGGGUGUGGUUGUGGAGGUGGCUACUAAGCCAGCGGCAUAUAAAGUUCGCCUCAGUCCUGGCCUAGGUUCCCAGGUGGGCCCACCAGCCACCCUCCCACAACUGUCACAGCCAUCACAUCGUGAGCCUGAGGAGGCCAUAUGGGUGGCCCGCUCCAGCCUGCGCCUGCUUAGGCCCCUCUGGGAACCUGAGGCCCUGUCGAGGAAGCCCCCCAUGGGCCCUGAGGAGGAGCCGGCUGAACCAGGGGCUACCCUGCCAUCCUGCCCUGCUGCCCUGGACUCCAAGCAGCCUGAAGAUGCUGAGGUCUCCAAGAUCAGCUUUGGUGGCAACCUGGGGACUUGUGAGGAGGGUGAAGAGAAGCACCCACCAGCCCUGGGCACCCCUGCCCUCCUCCCACUACCCCCACCCCAGCUUCUUUCUCCACCACCCAAGUCCCCAGCCUUUGCAGGCCCAGGCCGCCCUGGUGAGCAGCCUUCACCUUGCCAGGAGGGGAGCCAGGGCGGCAGCCGUAGCAGCAGUGUGGCCUCUCUGGAGAAGGGCGCUGCUCCGGCCACCCGUGCCCGCACUCCACUGACAGCCGCCCAGCAGAAGUAUAAGAAGGGCGAUGUGGUCUGCACGCCUAAUGGAAUCCGCAAGAAAUUCAAUGGCAAGCAGUGGCGGCGGCUGUGCUCACGGGACGGCUGCAUGAAGGAGUCUCAGCGGCGGGGCUACUGCUCUCGCCACCUAUCCAUGCGAACCAAGGAAAUGGAGGGCCUGGCGGACAGUGGCCCAGGUGGGGCCGGGCGGCCUGCUGGUGUGGCAGCUCGGGAGGGUAGCACUGAGUUUGACUGGGGUGAUGAGACAUCGAGGGACAGUGAGGCCAGCAGUGUGGUGGCCCGCGGAGAUUCACGCCCACGCCUGGUAGCCCCUGCCGACUUGUCACGCUUUGAGUUUGAUGAGUGUGAGGCGGCAGUGAUGCUGGUGUCCUUGGGCAGCUCCCGCUCAGGCACGCCGUCCUUCUCCCCGGUCUCCACGCAGUCACCCUUCUCGCCAGCGCCUUCACCCUCACCCUCGCCACUCUUCGGCUUUCGUCCCGCCAACUUCAGCCCCAUCAAUGCGUCGCCAGUUAUCCAACGUACUGCUGUUCGUAGUCGCCACCUGAGCGCUAGCACCCCUAAGGCAGGCGUGCUAACGCCACCAGAUAUGGGUCCCCACCCACCGCCACCUGCCCCCCGAGAACGCCAUUCCUCUGGCAUCCUACCCACCUUCCAGACCAAUCUGACCUUCACCGUGCCCAUCAGCCCUGGGCGGCGGAAGACAGAACUGCUGCCCCACCCAGGGGCCUUGGGAGCCCCUGGUUCAGGGGGCGGAGGAGCCGCCCCAGACUUUCCCAAGAGUGACAGCCUGGAUUCUGGCGUGGACUCGGUGUCCCACACACCUACACCCUCUACACCAGCCAGCUUCCGGGCUGUAUCACCUGCUGUGCCCUUUCCCCGCUCCCGCCAGCCCUCACCGUUGCUGCUGUUGCCCCCACCUGCUGGCCUGACCUCGGAUCCUGGACCCUCUGUGCGCAGGGUGCCUGCUGUGCAACGGGACUCACCUGUUAUUGUUCGCAACCCUGAUGUGCCACUACCUUCCAAAUUCCCUGGAGAGGUGGGCACUGCUGUGGAGGCUCGAGCUGCAGGACCUGGGCGGGGCUGUCGAGAGGCCCCAGUGCCCCCUGGGGUAGCCAGUGGGAAGCCUGGCCUGCCCCCACCUCUGCCAGCCCCCGUACCCAUAACUGUGCCUCCAGCCGCGCCAACUGCUGUGGCCCAGCCGAUGCCCACCUUUGGCCUGGCUUCCUCGCCCUUCCAGCCAGUGGCCUUCCACCCCUCACCUGCUGCCCUGCUGCCCGUCCUGGUGCCCAGCAGCUACACCAGCCAUCCUGCCCCCAAGAAGGAAGUCAUCAUGGGCCGGCCUGGAACAGUGUGGACGAAUGUGGAACCUCGCUCUGUCGCUGUGUUCCCCUGGCACUCCUUAGUCCCCUUCCUGGCCCCCAGCCAGCCAGACCCUUCCGUGCAGCCAAGUGAGGCCCAGCAACCUGCCAGCCACCCAGUGGCCUCCAACCAGAGCAAAGAACCUGCUGAGUCGGCGGCUGUUGCUCACGAGCAGCCACCAGGUGGGACAGGGAAUGUUGACCCUGGGAGGCCCCCUGGAGCCACAUGCCCUGAGAGCCCAGGGCCUGGACCCCCCCACACUUUGGGGGUGGUGGAACCUGGAAAGGGCCCCCCUCCCACCACUGAGGAGGAGGCCCCUGGCCCUCCAGGAGAACCCCGGCUGGAUAGUGAGACGGAGAGUGACCACGAUGAUGCUUUCCUCUCCAUCAUGUCUCCUGAGAUCCAGUUGCCUCUGCCACCUGGAAAACGCCGGACUCAGUCCCUCAGUGCCCUGCCCAAGGAACGAGACUCAUCGUCAGAGAAGGAUGGACGCAGCCCCAACAAGCGGGAGAAGGACCAUAUCCGGCGGCCUAUGAAUGCCUUCAUGAUCUUCAGCAAGAGGCACCGGGCCCUGGUCCACCAGCGUCACCCCAACCAGGACAACAGGACCGUCAGCAAGAUUCUGGGCGAGUGGUGGUAUGCCCUAGGGCCCAAGGAAAAGCAGAAGUACCAUGACCUGGCUUUCCAGGUAAAAGAGGCCCACUUUAAGGCCCACCCAGACUGGAAGUGGUGCAACAAGGACCGGAAGAAGUCCAGCUCAGAGGCCAAGCCCACGAGCCUGGGGCUGGCAGGAGGGCACAAGGAGACUCGGGAGCGGAGCAUGUCGGAGACGGGUACUGCUGCUGCCCCUGGAGUGUCCUCUGAGCUUCUGUCUGUCGCAGCCCAGACACUCUUGAGCUCGGACCCCAAGGCUCCAGGGAGCAGCUCUUGUGGGGCAGAACGUCUGCACACAGUUGGGGGACCUGGUUCGGCCCGGCCCCGAGCCUUCUCCCACAGUGGGGUCCACAGCCUGGAUGGAGGAGAAGUAGACAGCCAGGCACUGCAGGAACUGACUCAGAUGGUGUCUGGCCCUGCAUCGUACUCUGGCCCAAAACCUUCUACACAAUUUGGGGCUCCAGGCCCCUUUGCGGCUCCUGGAGAGGGAGGUGCCCUGGCGGCCAGUGGGCGCCCUCCCUUGCUGCCCACCCGAGCCUCUCGUUCCCAGCGUGCAGCCAGUGAGGACAUGACCAGUGAUGAGGAACGCAUGGUCAUCUGUGAGGAGGAAGGAGAUGAUGAUGUCAUUGCUGAUGAUGGCUUCAGUACCACUGACAUUGACCUCAAGUGCAAGGAGCGGGUAACUGACAGCGAGAGUGGAGAUAGCUCUGGGGAAGACCCAGAGGGCAGCAAGAGCUAUGGCAGGAAGGUGUUCUCGCCUGUGAUCCGUUCUUCCUUUACCCACUGCCGUCCAUCGCUGGACCCUGAGCCCCCAGGGCCCCCGGAUCCACCUGCAGCCUUCGGCAAAGGCUAUGGGCCCACCCCAUCUUCCUCAUCCUCGCCAGCAUCCUCCUCAGCCUCAGCAGCCACCUCCUUCUCAUUGGGCUCAGGGACCUUCAAGGCCCAAGAGUCAGGUCAGGGCAGCACAGCAGGCCCACUACGGCCCCCACCCCCUGGGGGCCCAACGACACCUUCCAAAGCCACCCGCUUCCUCCCAACGGAUCCUACCACCUUCCGGCGCAAGAGGCCUGAAAGUGUGGGGGGCCUAGAGCCACCUGGCCCCUCGGUUAUUGCAGCACCUCCCGGAGGGGGAGGAAGUGUCCUGCAGACACUGGUCCUGCCUCCAAACAAGGAGGAAAGGGAGGGUAGCGGAGCCCGCAUGCCCUCAGCCCCAGCCCCAUCGCUGGCCUAUGGGGCUCCAACAGUCCCCCUGUCCCGACCAGCUGCCACCAUGGUCACCAACGUGGUGCGGCCUGUCAGCAGCACUCCUGUGCCCAUUGCCUCUAAGCCCUUCCCCACCUCUGGCCGGGUGGAUGCAUCUCCAAAUGACAUAGCAGGUGCCAGGACUGAAACUGUCACUGGGUCCCGGGCACCUGGGGGCUCUCCACUGGGCGUCAGUUUAGUGUAUUCAGACAAGAAGUCAGCAACAGCCACCUCACCAGCCCCACAUCUGGUGACUGGGCCCCUACUGGGCACUGUGGGGAAGGCUCCUGCCACUGUCACCAACCUGCUGGUGGGCACCCCAGGCUAUGGGGCUCCUGCACCUCCUGCUGUCCAGUUCAUUGCCCAGGGAGCUCCUGGCAGUGGGGCCACUACGGGCUCAGGAGCAGGUGCUGGGAGUGGUCCUAAUGGGCCAGUGCCCCUGGGUAUUCUGCAGCCAAGUGCCCUGGGCAAGGCUGGGGGAAUCACUCAGGUUCAGUACAUCCUGCCCACGCUGCCCCAGCAGCUGCAAGUGGCGCCUGCCCCAGCGCCAGCCCCUGGGACCAAGGCAGCGGCUCCCAGCGGCCCAGCACCCACCACCAGCAUCCGUUUCACCCUCCCACCGGGCACCUCCACCAACGGCAAAGUCCUGGCUGCCACUGCACCCACUCCUGGCAUCCCCAUCCUGCAGUCUGUACCCUCUGCCCCGCCCCCCCAAAGCCCAGUCGGUUUCUCCUGUGCAGGCCCCGCCCCCGGGUGGCUCAGCCCAGCUGUUACCUGGGAAAGUGCUAGUGCCUCUGGCCACCCCUAGCAUGUCAGUACGUGGUGGAGGGGCUGGUCAGCCGCUGCCCUUGGUGAGCCCCCCCUUCUCAGUACCUGUGCAGAAUGGCGCCCAGCCACCCAGCAAGAUCAUCCAGCUGACUCCGGUGCCUGUGAGCACACCCAGCAGCCUGGUUCCACCCCUCAGUCCAGCCACGAUCUCUGGUCCCACCUCACAGCCUCAGAAGGUCCUGCUGCCCUCUUCCACCAGAAUCACCUAUGUGCAGUCAGCGGGCGGGCAUGCACUGCCUCUGGGCACCAGCUCAGCAUCCAGCCAGGCUGGAACAGUCACCUCAUACGGCCCCACGAGCUCGGUAGCUCUAGGCUUCACCUCACUAGGGCCCAGCGGCCCUGCCUUUGUGCAGCCCCUGCUUUCAGGCCAGACACCACUGUUGGCUCCUGGCCAGGUGGGCGUGUCACCCGUGCCCAGCCCCCAGCUGCCUCCCACCUGUGCUGCCCCUGGAGCUCCCGUCAUCACAGCAUUUUACCCUGGCAGCCCAGUACCCACCUCAUCAGCACCCCUGGCCCAGCCACCCCAGGCCACCCCAGGCCUGGUCUACACUGUGGCCACCAGUACCACCCCACCUACUGCUCCAAUCCUGCCCAAGGGCCCACCGGCUCCUCCCACUGCCACUGCCACUGCCACCCCUACUAGUCCUUUCCCUAGCUCCACAGCAGGCUCCAUGACUUACAGCUUAGUGGCUCCCAAGGCCCAGAGGCCCACCCCCAAAGCCCCCCAGAAAGUGAAGGCAGCCAUCGCCAGCAUUCCUGUGGGCUCCUUUGAGGCAGGUGCCCCUGGGCGGCCUGGCCCUGCACCCCGGCAGCCCUUGGAUCCUGGCUCAGCUCGUGAGCCUGCUGCCCCUGAGUCUGACCUUGAGGGACAGCCUACAGCGCCAGCUCCUCCACCUCCCUCAGAGACAUGGGCUCCCACUGCUAGGAGCAGCCCCCCACCACUCCCACCUGCUGAGGAACGGACCAGCACCAAGGGCCCUGAGACCAUGGCCAGCAAAUUCCCCAGCUCGUCUUCAGAUUGGCGCGUCCCUGGACUGGGCCUGGAGAGUCGAGGGGAGCCUCCCACCCCUCCCAGCCCAGCUCCGGCCCCAGCCCCAGCUCUGGCCCCAGCUCCAGCCCCAGCCCCUGGUAGCAGCAGCGGCGGCAGCAGUGAGGGCAAUAGUGGCAGGGCAGCCGGAGACACCCCUGAGCGCAAGGAGGUGGCUGGUACCGGCAAGAAGGUGAAGGUGCGGCCCCCACCCCUGAAGAAGACCUUUGACUCUGUGGACAACAGGGUCCUGUCAGAAGUAGACUUCGAAGAACGCUUUGCUGAGCUACCUGAGUUUCGGCCUGAGGAGGUAUUGCCCUCACCCACCCUGCAGUCUCUGGCCACCUCGCCCAGGGCCAUCUUGGGCUCCUAUCGUAAGAAAAGGAAGAACUCCACUGACCUGGACUCAGCCCCUGAGGACCCCACCUCACCCAAGCGUAAGAUGAGGAGACGCUCCAGCUGCAGCUCGGAGCCCAAUACUCCCAAGAGUGCCAAGUGCGAGGGGGAUAUCUUCACCUUUGACCGCACAGGUACAGAAGCUGAGGAUGUGCUCGGGGAGCUGGAAUACGAGAAAGUGCCAUACUCAUCACUGCGGCGUACCCUGGACCAGCGCCGCGCCCUGGUCAUGCAACUCUUCCAGGACCAUGGCUUCUUCCCAUCAGCCCAGGCCACAGCAGCCUUCCAGGCCCGCUACGCAGACAUCUUCCCCUCCAAGGUCUGUCUGCAGUUGAAGAUCCGUGAGGUGCGCCAGAAGAUCAUGCAGGCCGCCACUCCCACAGAGCAGCCCCCUGGAGCUGAGGUCCCUCUUCCCGGACCGCCCCCCACUGGCACCACUGCUGCCCCUGUUCCCACUCCCAGUCCUGUUGGGGGCCCUGACGCCACCUCACCUGGCUCGGACUCUGGCACGGCCCAGGCUGCCCCGCCACUGCCUCCACCCCCAGAGCCAGGGCCUGGACAGCCUGCCUGGGAGGGCGCCCCCCAGCCCUCCUCCCCUCCCCCUGGUCCCUCCACAACUGCCACAGGCAGGUGAGGGCCCCCUGAAAAGAUCCCAGGAACAACAGUACCCCCCCCUCAGGAAUGGACAAUAUGUAGAUGGCAGGAAUAGGGGGGUAGGAUGGUUACCUCCUCCCCAGUAAAGCCAUUUCGUCCUUUCUAGUUUGGGGCAGAAUGAGGCCUGCUCCUCUGUGUGUCCCCAUCCCCCUGCAGCUCUCUCCCAGUAAUGGGGGGCAGCUGAGGGAAGCAGGGGCACAGUCUCCCUUCACUGAGCCCCUGUACAUAAUAACCUGGAGUGUGUUACCUUCAGAUCUUUUCACUUGUACUUUAUGCAAAAUGGCUCAUGUGAGGGCUGCAAGCAGAGAGAAGUGAGGGCCUUGGGCCAGAGGGAGGAGCCUGUGGAGUAGGGGGAGUUCAUGUACCCCUUUUUUCCCCAGAGGGGCUGGACUCAGGUUAGUUUGGGGGUGGGGGCUCCUGCACUUUGCCACAGGCAUGGGGAGGGUUCUCUCCCCACUCCUCUGCCCUCCCAACUUGGGUUGUACUUUCUAAGAAGGUGAUUCCCCCUACCCUUGUCCCCAUCCCCAGAACAAAACAUGUUGAUCAUGUGCAAUAUUUCUUACUGUGCCGAGAAGCCACAAUGACCGCGAUUAAAGCUGUUUAACACA